GACAGAGGUCCCGAGCGUUAGGCGGAAUCACUGGGCUUAAAGCGUGUGUAGGCGGAGUUCUAAGUACCUUGUGAGAUCCCACGGCUCAACCGUGGAACUGCUUGGUAUACUGGUUCUCUUGAGCCACCUAGGGGCAACCGGAACAAACGGUGGAGCGGUGAAAUGCGUAGAUAUCGUUUGGAACGCCAAUGGUGAACACAGGUUGCUGGGGGUGUGCUGACGCUGAGACACGAAAGCCAGGGGAGCAAACGGG
rnacentral:rRNA from 1 species